UACGAGGGGUGCAAACGUUAUUCGGAUUUACUGGGCGUAAAGGGUGCGUAGACGGCGCAUUAAGUUCGUUGUUAAAUCUUUCGGCCUAACCGGAAGCUUGCGAUGAAAACUAAUGUGCUUGAGGAUGGAAGAGAGAAGUGGAAUUCUUGGAGUAGCGGUAAAAUGCGUAGAUCUCAAGAGGAACACCGAUGGCGAAGGCAGCUUCUUGGUCCACUCCUGACGUUGAGGCACGAAAGCGUGGGUAGCAAACAGG
rnacentral:misc_RNA from 1 species